rnacentral:rRNA from 1 species
CACGUAGGGGGCAAGCGUUGUCCGGAUUUAUUGGGCGUAAAGAGCUCGUAGGUGGUUCGGUAAGUCAGGUGUGAAACCUCCAGGCUCAACCUGGAGACGCCACUUGAUACUGCUGUGACUGGAGUCCGGUAGGGGGGCGUGGAAUUCCUGGUGUAGCGGUGAAAUGCGCAGAUAUCAGGAGGAACACCAGCGGCGAAGGCGGCGCUCUGGGCCGGUACUGACACUGAGGAGCGAAAGCGUGGGUAGCAAACAGG